UAAAGGUUUGGUCCUGGCCUUUCUAUUAGUUAUUAGUAGGAUUACACAUGCAAGCUUCCGCAUCCCGGUGAAAAUGCCCUCUAUGUCACACAUGACCCAAAGGAGCAGACAUCAAGUACACAACCACUGUAGCUUAUGACGUCUUGCAGAGCCACACCCCCACGGGAUACAGCAGUGAUAAAAAUUAAGCCAUGAAUGAAAGUUCGACUAAGCCAUACUAAAUCAAGGGUUGGUAAAUUUCGUGCCAGCCACCGCGGUCAUACGAUUAACCCAAACUAAUAGACUUACGGCGUAAAGCGUGUUAAAGAGACAACCCUUACUAGAGUUGAGCCCUAACUAGGCUGUAAAAAGCUGCAGUUAACAUAAAAAUACAGCACGAAAGUAACUCUAAUAUCUCCAACCACACGAUAGCUAAGACCCAAACUGGGAUUAGAUACCCCACUAUGCUUAGCCCUAAACCUAGAUGAUUCACUUAACAAAAUCAUUCGCCAGAGAACUACUAGCAACAGCUUAAAACUCAAAGGACUUGGCGGUGCUUUAUAUCCCUCUAGAGGAGCCUGUUCUAUAAUCGAUAAACCCCGAUAUACCUCACCACCCCUUGCUAAUCCAGUUUAUAUACCGCCAUCUUCAGCAAACCCUUAAAAGGAAUAAAAGUAAGCAUAAGUAUCUUUAACAUAAAAAAGUUAGGUCAAGGUGUAACCUAUGAGGUGGGAAGUAAUGGGCUACAUUUUCUGAACCAGAACACCCCUAAACGAAAGUUCUUAUGAAACUAAGAACUAAAGGAGGAUUUAGCAGUAAAUUGAGAACAGAGCGCUCAAUUGAAUCGGGCCAUGAAGCACGCACACACCGCCCGUCACCCUCCUCAAGUGAUAGCCCCUACAGAUUAAAUAAUCAUUUCCUAAAAUCACAAGAGGAGAUAAGUCGUAACAAGGUAAGCAUACUGGAAAGUGUGCUUGGAUAAU
rnacentral:ncRNA from 1 species